UAACAAGGAUUCCCCUAGUAACUGCGAGUGAAGCGGGAAAAGCUCAAAUUUAAAAUCUGGCGGUCUAUGGCCGUCCGAGUUGUAGUCUGGAGAAGUGCUUUCUGCGUUGGACCGUGUACAAGUCUCUUGGAACAGAGCGUCAUAGAGGGUGAGAAUCCCGUCUUUGACACGGACUACCAGUGCUUUGUGAUGCGCUCUCAAAGAGUCGAGUUGUUUGGGAAUGCAGCUCAAAAUGGGUGGUAAAUUCCAUCUAAGGCUAAAUAUUGGCGAGAGACCGAUAGCGAACAAGUACCGUGAGGGAAAGAUGAAAAGCACUUUGGAAAGAGAGUUAAACAGUACGUGAAAUUGCUGAAAGGGAAACGCUUGAAGUCAGUCACGUCGGCCAGGACUCAGCCUUGCUUUUGCUCGGUGCAUUUUCUGGUUGAUGGGUCAGCAUCAAUUUUGAUUGCUGGAAAAAGGCAGAGGGAAUGUGGCACCUUCGGGUGUGUUAUAGCCCUCUGUUGCAUACAGCAGUUGGGAUUGAGGAUCGCAGCACGCCUUUAUGGCCGGGGUUCGCCCACGUUCGUGCUUAGGAUGCUGGCAU
rnacentral:rRNA from 1 species